CAUAAGCCAGGCCUGCUCGGGAGGUCCUGUCCUCCUCUGGAGGCGGCUAGGCCAACAAGCGAGCGAGGAGCGCACAGCCGUGGCUAACACAGAGGCCUCUGAGUGGCUCCUGCGCUAAGGAACUUGAAUCCUCCGGUGAUAAGCCUGGUGUAAGAACCUGGAGAGAACAGAACUGAAACCAUCCGACACAACAGAACUCUAUGUGAGGAAUGCCUCCCUCUCGGCUAACCAGACAGAGCUUUGCACUUGCAGGGAGUGCAGCAGUUUUUUGACCGAAGCCAGCUCGCUGCCCUGGGUCUCAA